CUCCAUGAAAAGUUAGUAAAACAUUUUAGAAUUUCCAAAGUAAAAGCUCCUUCAUAAUUGAAUAUUGAACAACACUUUAUUGUCAGUUUUUAAUCUUCAAACUCUAAAUAAUAUGUAUUCAUAACAGAACUGAUAGUGGUCAAUGAUCACAGUAGCAAUAGCAGCAGUAGCAAUGUAGUCAAAAACAGAAUAAGAAUAAUUCAUCUUAGUCCUAACUAGGGACAGAUUGAUUAUUAUUUCAUAUUUAUUCUUAUGAAAUGCUAUUUAUUCUACUUUUGCUUCUCUUUAGACAAAAUGCAUAUACCACAUUGAACCUUUCUCCUAUUUAGUGUUAAUGAUAACAUACAACGUAAAGGGAAACAUGCAGUUUGAUUCUUGGUUCAGAAGCAGUUAAUUAGAGCAGAAUUUACAAGGUGAGAAGAAAUCUUCAGAAAUCACUGAUGUGAUUUCCCAAAAUUUGAAAAAAAUGUCACCAUUCAAUUAAUUACUAAAGGAGUAAUGAGCCCCUUCUUGCAUUAUAAAUCUCUCAAAUAAAAUUGGGCUUUCCAUAGUUUUGUAAAGAAACUUGUAACACUACUUAACAGCUUCUUAGCAUCAGUGUGUGAACAAAUAUAUACUAAUUGAAGAAUAACAGCUUUAAAUUGCAUACUCAGUAUUUUGUUUAAAACAAAAACUAAACAAAGAAAUAUAGUCCUCUUUUUAUAUAGAAGCUUUAAUAUGUCUAUGCUGAUGAAAUUACAAAAGCUUUUCUUGCUUUUCUUAUAGUACCAUAUAAAUGUAAUGUAUUUCUUACAUUUACACGGAUCCUUUAUUUUCAGAAACUCAGAUAGAGAACAAAUCCUGAAAUUCAAUGCAUUGUCUGAAAUGGAAGAACCAAUAAAGAGAACUAUGAUGCCAAAUCUGAUUCUCAUCAACAAGGAGGAACCAUCUACUGAAAUAAAAAUUAUGAGAAUUUUGAACUGAUCAUCUCUGAAUUUGGGACAGAGAAAUUAUAGUUUAAAAUUCAUUCUAGAUGCUGGAGAGUCAAUUUUAAAGAAAUGGGUAAGAUUCUAUUAACUAAAUUCUACAGGGGAUAUCAACCAAGGAAGGAUAAAAAAAAACCCUAGAAGCAACAAUAUGAAGAUACAAACAGAAAUUGUUCUGAGGAAGAGGAAAAGGAAAAUAAAGAGAUUAUUACAGAUUCA
rnacentral:lncRNA from 1 species